rnacentral:rRNA from 1 species
UAGGGAAUAUUGGACAAUGGGUGAGAGCCUGAUCCAGCCAUGCCGCGUGCAGGAAGAAGGCGUUAUGCGUUGUAAACUGCUUUUUGCCAGGGGAUAAAAAGACCGUGCGCGGUUAAUUGAAGGUACCUGGUGAAUAAGCCACGGCUAACUACGUGCCAGCAGCCGCGGUAAUACGUAGGUGGCAAGCGUUGUCCGGAUUUAUUGGGUUUAAAGGGUGCGUAGGUGGCCCUGUAAGUCAGUGGUGAAAUAUCUCAGCUUAACUGAGAGGGUGCCAUUGAUACUGCAGGGCUUGAGUACAGAUGAGGUAGGCGGAAUUGACGGUGUAGCGGUGAAAUGCAUAGAUAUCGUCAAGAACACCGAUAGCGAAGGCAGCUUACCAAGCUGUAACUGACACUGAGGCACGAAAGCGUGGGGAGCAAACAGGAUUAGAUACCCCCGUAGUCCCUGAGCGGGCUGGCAAGGCGCAU